GCUCUCGAUGGCCCGCUUAGCGAAGCCCUCGUUCUCGCCGCCCUGCCGGUGGCACAUGAGGCUGUGGACGAUGCUGAGGCAGGCGUCAUUGCUACUCGGAGGGUUCACCGACAUGAUAGUGCUGCAAAACAAACAGGCCCCAAGCUCAACAGCUGGAGAGAGGACACAGUUGUGUGUCCAAAUGAAAAAUUAAAUCCAUUUCCAGGGACGAUAAAGUCAUCGUGACUGUCACCUACCUAUCUGGUCCAAUCAAUCUAUGCAUCAUUUUCCAGGCGCACUGCAUGAACAUCGACAUACACGCGUCACCAACAUGGAACCGGCCGGCCGGCCGCCGGCGCCUUCCUUCCACACGUCCGUUUACUGUACAUUUAUAUACACUACUGCACAUGCACGCUACAUUUCGUCGUGUUCGCCGUCAACUGUACAUCCCCGAAGUUUAGCAGGAAAAAACAUGAGACGACAAAUCGUAACCUUGCAAAUCAAAUAGUGAGCAGCACAACAUCACCUGGAAUGAACCCGGGGAAAAUGGAGAACCGCGCACCGCGCAAGAUAAAGACACUUUAUCGAGCUAAUAUUUGCAACUUUCACUUGCAAAUCGGGGCUAUUUGCUCGCUCUGUAUGCAAUGCAGGCAGGCGACAGACAGCUGGUGCAACAAGCGUUCACAUUGAAUUGCUAACACUUACACAUCAGACGGAGAGAAGAGAAGAACUUGAACCGAAAGACCGUUGCUUGAGCUGUCCGACAAUUGCUUCAAGUGUACGGACGGAGUGCUGGCUGGCUGGCCGGCCGGCCGGCUGGCUGGCUGGCUGAAUGUUUACUCGCCUGCCUGCCUGCCCGCCUGCCUGCGAGGCUGCCUGCCCCCGCCUGCUUGCCUGCGAGGCUGCCUCUCUCUACAUUCGCUGGCUUUUAGCACUGUCGAUCACACACACAGCACACCGGCGGCGAUACUUGCAUAGAUUGCAGCUAAAUGGAUCAAUUGUUUCAUAUGCGACACUGUGCUAGCUCUCACAGUAGCUUUAUCAUAUUUUCUCCGUCCGUCUUACUGUCUCCUCGUGCAUCCUGCCCGUCCGUUCCUCACGCGCACGACACAAUAACAAUAGAGGGGAGACAUCGUGCGCGUCAGUGUCGCGACACGCUUCAGCCAAUAGCAGGCCGGCUCUCAUACGCACGCUCGCGCUCAUCCAAUAGAAAAGCGGCUCUCACAGCGACGCUGCCAGCCAGGGUCUGUCUGGUUCGUCGAGAUUGACAGGCCCGCCGCCGCCGCCGCGAGACUGUUUUCUUUAAGGUGGCGCCUCUGAGAUUAGCGCUCCCCCAACAUACAUUUACAAUUGUACCCCCAAAGCGGGCCACCAUUUGGCACUUGGACAUGCUCAAAACUUGACUCCCCAACUUCUCCGUGCAUGAUCAAUCAUGCAUUAACUGGACAUGAAGUUUUGCAGCACGAAUCAUGAGUGACUUAAGUGCAAACUGUCAUUUGACUCCAAUAAUGGAUGAAUUAUGCACCUUCUUUUUAGUUAGAUCAAAUAAAAGUGUCGUAACAAGCAUG